rnacentral:tRNA from 1 species
GUCCUGAUAGCUUGUAAGCAUUGGCCUUGUAAGCCAAAGAAUGUAGCCCCCCCCCCCGCUACUCAAGACU